UGGAAUUUAGAUGUUCUUGAUGCUCUGUAAUCAAUCAGCAAUGUUUGAACACGAUGUUCAAACAAGCCGCCUCUGAGCCAUGGAUGGCGAAUUGGCGGCGGUUGCGUGCGUUUAUAUGGAGUAAAUCAGAGCAUCUAGAACAUCUUAAUUU
rnacentral:ncRNA from 1 species